rnacentral:lncRNA from 10 species
CUUAACUGAUGACAUUACCUUGUGAAAUUCCUUCUCCUGGACAAUGAAUCUCAGGAGCUCCCCCACCGAGCACCUUGUGACCCCCCUGCCCCUGCCUGCAAGAGAACAACCCCCUUUGACUGUAAUUUUCCACUACCUACCCAAAUCCUAUAAAACUGCCCCACCCCUAACUCCCAUUGCUGACUCUCUUUUAGGACUCAGCCCACCUGCACCCAGGUGAUUAAAAAGCUUUAUUGCUCACACAAAGCCUGUUGGUGGUCUCUUUACAUGGAUGCACAAGACACUCUUGACUUUGAUUUUCUGCAGUAUGAAUAUGGGACAUGCAUGAAAUUUGGUGCCGUGACUCAGAUCGGGGGACCUCCUUUGGGAGAUCAAUCCCCUGUCCUCCUGAUCUUUACUCCAUGAGAAAGAUCCACCUACAACCUCAAGUCCUCAGACUGACCAGCCCAAGAAACAUCUCACCAAUUUCAAAUCCGGACCCUACUGAAAAUCAGACUGUUCAACUCACCUGGCAGCCACUCCCAGAGCCCCUGGAACUCUGGCCCAAGGCUCUCUGACUGACUCCUUCCCAGAUCUUCUCAGCUUAGCAGCUGAAGACUGACACUGCCCAAUCGCCUCAGAAGCCUACAGGACCAUCACAGAUGCUCUAGGUAACUCUCACAGUGGAAGACUCAGCCCGCCUGCACCCAGGUGAAAUAAACAGCCAUGUUGCUCACACAAAGCCUGUUUGGUGGUCUCUUCACACGGAUGUGCAUGAAACUACCUACACCCAUACGGAAGGGAACAAAUCAUGGGGAAAGAGGAAAGAAGGAAGUAACAAAAUGAAGAUUCCUAGCCCUAUAGCAACAAAUAUCUAGCAGGUGCUGAAUGGUUGUUUUUCGUUUUUUGUUUUUUUUUUGUUUUUUUGUUUUUUUGUUUUUUUCAGAAAAGUAAUGGAAUGCUACAGCCUAGUCAGUUUUGAGAAAAGGCUAACCAACAACAACAACAACAAAUCAUAGUCAUGCUCAGAUUGCACAUGAACAAAAAAAUGUUGGAGAGAAACCAUUGAAAUAACUCACCGGUCCUCUUGUGUUGCUGCUUAUCUGAUUAUCUGAGGUCAAGGGAACUGAGGACAACAAAGGAAAUUAGGUCUUUCAUAGUUCUCAUUAAAUGCUGGAGGAGUCUGACUACUGCUGAGCUGAGCACUUCAGCGGCUUUGGAAAAGGAAGUGUGGUUACUUAUUUCACCACCUUCAUUGUGCUGGAGGAAAUAAGAAAUAGCUCUGAGACUAAUAAUAACAGAAACGGCAUCCACAGCAGCAGAGCCCAGUUGCACUUCCUAAAGGCAGUAUAAAUAAUUAAGUGUCUCUAUAGGCAAGCCACUAGGAAUAAACGAAAAAGAGCUGCAAUUGCUGAUGUGGUUUCACCCCAGUCCUGCCCAUGUUUCUUAACAGGAAAGGGAGUUGCAAUGCCAAUAAUAAAAUCUUAGAGCUGGAAAGAACAUUUAUUUGCCUGUUUAUUCAUUCAUUUACUCAGUCAUUAUUGGGCACUUACGGUAGACUAGUCGUUAUGUUACCUACUAGGAGCUUGGAUAUCACCCACUUUUAUGUCUUCAUUCUUUGAGCGAAGAGCUAUCUACAUGGUGAGUCCAAAAGUGCACAAGAGGAAACCUGGCUUGUCCAAACCAAGGGCUAUAACUUAGUUUCCUAACUGCCCAGCAAAAAUAUUUUCAGUUAGGCUCCACUUUAACUCUUAAAAAUGUGGCUUGUGAAUUACUUGAUGAAUAAUUUUACUUUCUUGAUUAUAUUAAGCACAAAAAGGAAGAGAAACACAAUUACAAUAUUAAAAUUGUGAAAGGCAUCUCACCAAGGUGCUUCUUCUGAGAACUCCAUGUCUCCAUUGCUUAUCUGAAACCUUUAUUUUGCUUGGCCUCUGGGUCCCACUGCCUCUGGAUUUACUUCUCACCUGCUGACUGCUCCUUCUUUUUUACUUUUUCUGUGUGCUCUCCAUCUUCCUGACCUCUUUAAUUUGAAUGUCCUGGGACUCAGCCCUUUGGCUUCUCUUUGCAAUCAGUGCACACACUCUAGAUUUACCCAUCCAAUGCCACAGCCUUAAAUAACAUCAAUAUUCUUCUGAUGGCUCUCAAAGUAAUAUAUUUUGCUCUGACGUCCCUCUUUAAUUCUACAUGUAUAUCAGACUGUCUGUCUAUUUGGCAGCCCCAGUGUGAUGUUCCUCUAGAAUCACUACCUUAACAUAUGUGAAACAAACUCUUUUCACCCCACCCCUCACCAAAAAAAUCUAUUUUUUAUAUACGUAUCCAUUCAAGAAAAGGAAACCUUCUUUCAUUUGCUCGGGUAAAACACUCUGAGUAACCGGUUCCUCUAAUUUCUCUAUUUCCCAUAUUCAGUCCAUGAGCAAAUUUUACAACUGUUAACUUUGAAAUAAUACACACAGCAUCCAAUCACUUAUCUAAACUCUGUCGCUGCCGCUCGGGUCUAAGCACCAUCAUGUCUCACCUGGAUUAUUGUGACAGUCUUCUUAAUGGGUUUUCUGCAUUUCCUUUUUGCUCCACUGUAGUCUAUGCUUCUCAGAGCAGCCUAAGUCAAUCCUCUGCUCAAAAUGCUCCAAUGCACACUGCACUCUAUCAAAGCUCUAACUAUUGCUAAAAUGACCCAUUGUCUCCUUUAUUCCUGCUACCUCUCAAGUCACAUGCCCUAUCCCCUAUGCCUCCUCCAACUGUCCCUCUGACGCAGCUAUCGAGUACCUUGCUGUUCCUCAAACACAGUAAGCACACCCUAUCUUAGGGUGUUUGCAUUAUCUAUGCAAAAACACUGCAUGGUGUGCUUUUUUUUGCUAUGCACCCGCAUGGUUUAUCUUCACAGAGAUCUUGGCUAACACUAGCACCUUUUCAUUCUAUGGUCCUUUCCUCUGCUUUAUUUUUCUCUUUGCACCUUUCACCGUCUGAUCCAUACUUUUUGAUUGUUUUCCCCUCAAGGACAUAAGCACCAUGACAAUAGGAAUGUCACUUUAUUUAUUUAUGUCUCCUUCUACGUAAGUGCAUUGGCCCCAGAAAUCUAGACCUCUAAUUAUAAAGAGGCCAUUUUUUUUUCCUCCAGCUUCAAAAUAAUUGCACUUCAAAAUUGUAAUACUUUGUGAACAAAGGAAAAAGAUUUAAAAUUAUGGGUCUAGGGUCAAGGCAAUGGUGGAAGAUAAAAAGGAAAGAUGUUACAUUCCUUGGGGGACAAGGUUGGUCUUGAAGAAGAAAGAAAACAAUGAGGAUGUUGAAUGAAGUAAAAAACAAUGUUGGCCAGGCGCGGCGACUCACGCCUGUAAUCCCAGCACUUUGGGAGGCAAAGGCGGGUGGAUCACAAGGUCAGGAGUUUGAGACCAGCCUGGCCAACAUAGUGAAACCUCGUCUCUACUGAAAAUACAAAAAUUAGCCGGGCAUGGUGGUGCACGCCUAUAGUCCCAGCUACUCUAGGGGCUGAGCCAGGAGAAUCGCUUGAACCCAGGAGGCGGAGGUUGUGGUGAGCUGAGAUCACGCCACCUCAUUCCAGCCUGAGCAGCCAACCGAGAC